GGAGCUGAUCGCUGCUGGUUUGGAAUUUCUAAAGCAGUGAUGUGAGCAGGUGGAAAUAAAUUGUAAGCCUCAGCUUCUCAGGGAUUAUAUAUUUUUCCACGCUAUGAUCAACAUAUGAGAGCUAUAGCACAGACAGAAGGAAUACACUGUGAGAAUUCUUCUUUUCAUCUCAUAAUAUUGAUAUGAACACAUUCCACUCUCAGCUGAUACAGAGAAUGGACACGGGAAGAACAGGAUGGAGUGAAGGGAGCAAGAGAAGAGUGUAAAGCACAAGAAUAGAAGUGAUGGAGUUGGGGAGAGACAAUGUAAAAAUCAUGAUAAAGAAAUGUUCUCAGAUAGUUCAGGCCAUCUGCUGUUAUGCCAUAAGCCGUAUCCAUCAGUGUCUGCACACCUGGGAGCUCAGGGCGAGGAAGGGCUUUUUUUUCAGCACAGACCUGCCAAGAGUAUUAUUUCAACAAGGAAUGGGAGA